rnacentral:rRNA from 1 species
UUGUGGUUAAAAAGCUCGUAGUUGGAUCUCGGCGGACUGAGGGCGGUUUGCUUGCUAGUAUUACUGCCCUAUAGUCCGUAGUUUUGCCAGAGGUUUCGGGGUGCUCUUAAUCGAGUGUCCCGGGAUGCUGGCAGGUUUACUUUGAAAAAAUUAGAGUGCUCAAAGCAGGCUAUUACGCCUGAAUAUUCGUGCAUGGAAUAAUAGAAUAGGAAGUCGUUUCUAUUUUGUUGGUUUUCGGAAAUCGACUUAAUGAUUAAUAGGGACAGUCGGGGGCAUUUGUAUUCGAACGACAGAGGUGAAAUUCUUGGACCGUUUGAAGACAAACUACUGCGAAAGCAUUUGCCAAGAAUGUUUUCAUUAAUCAAGAACGAAAGUUAAAGGUUCGAAGGCGAUUAGAUACCGCCCUAGUUUUAACCAUAAACGAUGCCAGCUAGCGAUCUGCGGACGUUUUUUUUGUAGACUCCGCAGGAAGCUUCCGGGAAACCAAAGCAUUUGGGUUCCAGGGGAAGUAUGGUUGCAAAGCUGAAACUUAAAGGAAUUGACGGAAGGGCACCACCAGGAGUGGAGCCUGUGGCUUAAUUUGACUCAACACGGGAAAUCUCACCAGGCCCGGACACUGGAAGGAUUG